rnacentral:lncRNA from 1 species
GUAUAGCAAGGACCUAACCAAAGAGCGGGAUGCCAUCAAGCUGGAGCUUUGCAAGAACAGCAAAAGCAAUGAGGACCUGAGGCAGCAGAACUCAGAACUGGAAGAGAAACUUGGAGUGCCCGCGGCAGAGAAAGCAGCUGCACAGUUGGGGGUGGAGGAGCUGCAGAAGAAGUUAGAGAUGUCAGAGCUGGUGCUGCAGCAGUUCCUUAGCCAAUCUGUGGCCUCAGGCGGUAAUGAGCAGUUACAACAUGCCAUGGAGGAGCAGGCUCAGCUGGAGACCCAUGUUGGCCAGCUGAUGGAGUCACUGAAGCAGUUCCAGGUGGAGAGAGAUCAGUAUGCGGAGAAGCUGAAAGGAGAGUGUGCCAUGUGGCAGCAGCAAAUGUGGCAGCAGCAGAGGGUACAGCAAAUGGCGGAGCAGGUGCACACACUGAAGGAAGAGAAGGAGCACAGAGAACGGCAGGUACAAGAGCUGGAGACCACUUGGCGGCACUCCGGAAUCAGAUGGAGGAGCUGCCAUCCCCAGAGCCUCCAGCUGGGCCCUCGGAGGCCGAAGAGUGGCUGCAGGGAGAGGCUGAGCAGCUGCAGAAGGAGCUGGAAAGUCUAAUGGGACAGCUGCGGGCCCAGGUGCAGGACAAUGGGAGCCUGAGUCACCUAAACCAGGAGCAGGAAGGGUCAGCCCUGGAGAGAGCAGGCAGAAGAGCGCAAGCAGAUCCUGGAGAGCAUGCAGUGAUCGCACCACCAUCAGCAGAGCGCAGUCACAAAACCAAGAGCUAAAGGAGCAGCUGGCCGAGCUGCAGGCGGGCUUCGUCAGGCUG